UCUAUGAAAGUUCAUUGGAAUUUACUCAGCUCCAUCUCUUCUCCUCUCUAUCUUCUGUCGAGUUUUCUCCGUGAGCCUUUGCUGGAUUUCUCAAUAACAAUACGACUGGUUUACUUCUGAAAAGUUUCUUUGUUGAAACUCUGCCGCAAGCAAGUGAAAGUUGGAUAACAAAGGCUAAAGUGCCCAUGUACUGAGAUUUGAAAAAAAAAGCCAAUUGUAACAACCCGAUUACCUGGUAGUCAACGACAAUGUAUCAGUCUCUUAGGGCUCAAAACAGCUAUGUCAAUAGUGGCAAGAGAAAGAUCCAUCACUCAGAUCACCACUUUUCUGAUAGCAAUAGGAGAACGGAGAAUUGAAAUUGAAGAGCUUUAGUAUACGUUGCAGCUGAAAAUGACUAUGGAAAACCUUAACAAAUACUAACUCACCAUCAGGAACAGUAAAGCUUCAAAUUUUAUGAAGAGCAUCAAUGAGCUGUCAUUCCGUCUAUAUCAAGAACAAUUCGUUUUAUCGUGUUUGCCUCUUCCAAUGGCCUUCAACAACAAAAAAAUCCCAAUGACAGAACUUUUUAUGGUUGAAAUCUUACGGCAUGUGCUUAAAUUUGUUCAGGUACAACUGCUAGAAGAGACAAAAGAAUUCCUGAAUGCCUUUACAGAAAUACUGUAUUUUAUGGUAUACCUUUACUACCCAUUCAAAGAUUGAUGUCCUCAAAGUUAUCAUUCAGACUACAAAAUCCUCAACCUGCUAGAGGCCAC